GUCUCUUGAUCUUUCUCCUCCCCCCUCCGCUACCUCACUCCCCACUCUUUUCCUCCCUCCCUAGAUCCCCUUUCUCGUCAAGCUCGCCGGCCACGCCGCCGCUCGCCGUUGCAACGCCAACCGCAGGGACCGGCGGGAUCCGCCAGCCAUCGGUCCGGAUCGACGUCCACGCCUCCGGCUCCGACAUGCACGCCUGCUAGACACCGCCGUGAACCACCUCGUUUCUCUGCGUGAAGGAACCUCUUGAACCAAGGCUGCCUUUCUCGGUUCCAUCGGCCGCCGUUGCGACGCCGCGGCGGUCAUCCUCCUCCCUGAGCAACUACAGGGACCGUGACGGGCUCUGCGUCCGGACAACGGACUCGAAGCCGCGGGUCCCUCCUACUUCUUCCUCUCGCCUCCCUGAUCCGUCCGACCCGGCCGCCAUGAACAGCAAGGACAUUCAUGAGGGUUUGAAUUUUUCUGCUGCUGAGGAUGAAUCCUCCUUUGGAAUCUUUUCAAUAAAGUUUUCAAAAGAUGGCCGUGAACUUGUUGGAAACAGCAAUGAGUCAAUAUGUAUUUAUGAUCUUGGAGCAAACAAAGUGACAGAGCGAAUUCAUGCUCAUGUGAUAUGUCUUCGUAUCCGUUGCAUAAUGGUAAUAUCGAUAGAAGGCACCGAGGCGCCCUUAUGGAAGCGGGCAAGAACUUAGACGUGUUGGUCACUCGCACCCCAAAGUCUAACUGGAUGAUACACCCUUUCUGGGUUAAUAGGUUAAGUUGGGUUGGACUUUUACCCUUGGCACGGCUGGUUGAGGGUACAUUGGAUGAGCGGGUUGAACUUCCGGAGUUAGAUGCGGCAGGUGAACCAAUGCAGUUACGCAAGAGGCAAGUGAAACGUUUCUCUUACGACAGGUCACUCCUUACCUUCUUAGUGGCUAGAUGGAGACCAGAGACACAUACGUUCACUUUCCCUGGGAAGAGAUGGCGCCUACUUUACAUGACGUGUCUUACUUGUUGGGAUUACCUCUGGUCGGUGCUGCCAUAGGUCCUUUAGAGGCAGAACCUGGUUGGCUAGCAUCGAUGCAGACCCGUUUUUUGGCUGCGGUGCCAACUACUACGGGCCUAGACAACGAUCCUCACGGGCCUCUUUUUAGAUGGUUGAGCCAGUUUCAGGUUGUCUCGUUAGGAUUUCGCGAUGUUCAGUUGUCAGAGGCACAAAUUGACCGAUCCCUAGAGGCAUAUAUUCUUUGGUUGUUUGGCAAGACGAUGUUCACGGAGAACCACGUGACCACUGUUGAUGCAUGACUCAUCGGUAUUGCACGAGAGAUAGCUGACGCACGUUACCCUGGGGACAUUGUGCAGAGGAGUUUUGGUUCUGCUGUGUUAGCGGCUACGUACAGAGGCCUGUGCAAAGCUUGCUUGUUGAAGUCUAGAAAAUCACGUCUUGUUGGAUGUCUACUAUUGUUGCAGCUCUGGUCAUACGAGAGAUUCCCUAUUGGACGACCCUAUGUCUAUGUUGAUAAACCUUUUUUUGGAGAACAUAGCUGGGGCUUAUGUGCCUUCUAUCGGCGACUUGCCUACUAUGGGAUCUGUUUGGACAGUUUGCGCAUAGCCAGGUGAGGGGCUGCUACCCGUCCUUCAUGGCGCAGUUUGAUAGUUUGCACGAGGAUCAAGUUAUCUGGGAGCCAUACUCGCAUCAGGCUAUAUUAUCCAGGUGCCUAGUUGAGAUUUCUAGAUUGUGCACUAGAGAUCGGCACUAUUGGGUGACCAAGGCCAAGUUGGUGUUCGACGUGACAGUUGAGGAGAUGGCUCUUCAUAGGGUGAUGAGACAGUUCGGUCUAUGUCAAGAGCCUGACAUUCCAGUUAUUCCACACUUACCAGAACACGUGCACAAGUACAGUUGCGUAGGAGUAAACAAGUCCAUGGAUUAUUGGCUUCAGAGCAUUAGCCCUUACGUUGACGAAUGGACUACCGCGCCGAUAAAUAUCUAGGCUGAGGUUCGGCCCUUUGACUGGGACAAGUUCGGGUUGUAUCUGCAGCGUUACCGGCAUACAACAAGGAUCUACUUGGUUCCAUCAGCUGCUCCUGAUCAGAUUGAAGCCCCUCUCACUAGCGAUAUGUACCCAACUGCCUCUAUUGUGGGAACCAGACACCACGCGAUACGUGCCAUGGUUCUCAUAUGUUAAGUCUUUUUUUAACCUGGACAUAUUCAAUUGGUUAACUAUUCGUGUUGUCUACCAUACAAUAAGGAUCUAAUUGGUUAACUCUUCGUGUACAGGGUGACUUGACAAGCGAGGCGCGAGAGGAGGUUUCCUCUUUAAUGCAGCGCUUUGAGAGGGGAGAUACUAUCCCACCGCGAGAGCACGUCUCAUGGUUCAAGCGUCUUGAUGACAAGCAAUGCGGGAUUUACGCAAUUGUUACGUGUAGACGAUCUUCGGAUGUCGCAGUUCCUCGUCCAGCACAUCGUCUGCCACGUCCCUCUUAACAGCAUUCAGAACAAUGACCCUCUGUGCACCGUUCAGAACCAUGACCCUCUGUGCACCGUUCAGAACCUGGUCCUUCACAGCCAGGGAGCUCUUCCUGGCAUCAGCCACCUCCUUCACAACCAGGGAGCUACUGGCAUCAGCAGAUGGAUCUAGGCGGCAUCCAUUCUCAACCGUUCAUGCAUUCAGUGCAGUCACCGAUGCUUAGUGGUGCUACUUCGUUCUUAGAGGGCGAUGGCGACGACGAUGACCAAGCUGCAAACACUUAUGACUUCUCGCAGAUAGUAUUUCACACUCCACCACCAGAAGUCCAGAACCGACGCAAGAGAUACAGAUAGUGACAGACGAGGUUAUCUAUGGUCAUGGUUAUCAUGAGCCUCGUCCACCGCCUCAGCGCUUAUCACCUUCCGGUCCUCGCCCGAGGAAGGACCAGAUUCGUCGUCGUCCCCCGCAGUGAUAUGGUUAUCUAUGUAUGAGUCAUUAUCUAGGUUAGUUUCAGACUAUUCGCAUGUGUGAGUCAGUAUCUAUGUAUGAGACAUGCUUCAUGUAUGUGUUACUAUCGCACUUGCUUCUAUCUUAUUAGGAGACAUAUAUCGUUUUA